GAAACAACAUACGUUACAUCC
rnacentral:miRNA from 1 species